CUACGCAGGGCGCCGCCAUGACUGUUUGGGCCUGAUGGGAAGGGGAUUUCCUGUCCGCUUUGCGACCGACCAAAAAUAGGAGUCAAGGAGGCUGGGCGCCGCCAUGACAACUUGAUAUCGGAAAAGGCGGGACUAUUCUCCCUCAUUGAUCCUCCUCCAGCAUCGGCCUCAAGAUGCAGGCGGCCCUGGAGAUCACUGCUCGCUACUGCGGCCGGGAGCUGGAGCAGUAUGGCCAGUGUGUGGCAGCCAAACCGGAGUCGUGGCAGCGAGACUGUCACCAUCUUAAGAUGAGCAUUGCCCAGUGCACAUCCGCCCACCCAGUCAUCCGUCAGAUCCGCCAGGCCUGUUCGGAGCCUUUCGAGGCCUUUGAGGAAUGUCUUCGACAGAAUGAAGCCGCUGUGGGCAACUGUGCGGAGCAUGUGCGCCGAUUCCUGCAGUGUGCAGAGCAGGUGCAGCCAACACACAGACCCUCCACCUUGGAGGCACACCCACUUCCUGCCUCCUGAGGACCCUUCGGAUUGUAGGAAAACUGGACGUGAGUGAUUGGCCACAGGAUAUUCCCGCCCCUGAAGAAUGGCCAGGUCUGCCAACAUCUGUUUCCUGGUUCCUGCUGCACGGAUAUGGAGAAGAGCUCUCUCUCCCUUUACCUCUAGCAUUUACCAGGUCUUCACUGUUUCCUUGAGGCUUUGGGGGCAAUAAAUAACAUACCUUCUUGCCGCCUGAGUUCAGAACCAGC